rnacentral:sRNA from 1 species
GCGCACUAAAUCCACAUAGAACCGAGCACCGAAAAAAAAAAUUAAUCACAAACUGCGGAUAUCGAGUCACAACAAAAAACUUUGGAAUGGUUCACUUCGUACCCAAGCUGCAGCACCUGGUGCAUUGGGUGGGGGCAAAAGGAAGGGGGCCACCGAUACCACUCAUAAGCUGAUAAGACUGCUGGCGAUAAUGGAGCCUUAACCCAUUUGUGUUUUUUCUUUUUCGGCUGAUUAUUGGAUGAGUUUUUGGGGUUGAUAUGUAUAUAAUUUGAGGAUUGUUAUAUUUUGUCCCAGGAAUAAAAAAAGUCCGCAUCUUAUAGUCCUUAA